rnacentral:snRNA from 1 species
AUACUGACCUGGUAGGGGAGACACCAUGAUCAGGAAGUGGUUUUCCCAGGGCGAGGCUCACCCAUUGUGCUGCGGGUGUGCUGACCCUGCGAUUUCCCAANNN